UACGGGGGGGGCAAGCGUUGUUCGGAAUUACUGGGCGUAAAGGGUUAGUAGGUGGCCAACUAAGUCAGACGUGAAAUCCCUCAGCUUAACUGGGGAACUGCGUCUGAGACUGAUUGGCUCGAGGACAGGAGAGGAACGCGGAAUUCCAGGUGUAGCGGUGAAAUGCGUAGAUAUCUGGAGGAACACCGGUGGCGAAGGCGGCGUUCUGGACUGCAACUGACACUGAAAAACGAAAGCCAGGGGAGCAAACGGG
rnacentral:rRNA from 1 species